rnacentral:rRNA from 1 species
GUGGGGAAUAUUGGGCAAUGGGCGCAAGCCUGACCCAGCAACGCCGCGUGAAGGAAGAAGGCUUUCGGGUUGUAAACUUCUUUUAUCAGGGACGAAGAAAGUGACGGUACCUGAUGAAUAAGCCACGGCUAACUACGUGCCAGCAGCCGCGGUAAUACGUAGGUGGCGAGCGUUGUCCGGAUUUACUGGGUGUAAAGGGCGCGUAGGCGGGAAGGCAAGUCAGGUGUGAAAUCUAUGGGCUCAACCCAUAAACUGCACUUGAAACUGUUUUUCUUGAGUGUCGGAGAGGUAGAUGGAAUUCCUAGUGUAGCGGUGAAAUGCGUAGAUAUUAGGAGGAACACCAGUGGCGAAGGCGAUCUACUGGACGAUAACUGACGCUGAGGCGCGAAAGCGUGGGGAGCAAACAGG